CUGGUGGAGCAUGUGGUUUAAUUCGAUGCAACGCGAAGAACCUUACCUGGUCUUGACAUCCACGGAAGUUUUCAGAGAUGAGAAUGUGCCUUCGGGAACCGUGAGACAGGUGCUGCAUGGCUGUCGUCAGCUCGUGUUGUGAAAUGUUGGGUUAAGUCCCGCAACGAGCGCAACCCUUAUCCUUUGUUGCCAGCGGUUAGGCCGGGAACUCAAAGGAGACUGCCAGUGAUAAACUGGAGGAAGGUGGGGAUGAACGUCAAGUCAUCAUGGCCCUUACGACCAGGGCUACACACGUGCUACAAUGGAAA
rnacentral:rRNA from 1 species